GAUGAACGCUGGCGGCGUGCUUAACACAUGCAAGUCGAACGGAAAGGCUCCUGCUUGCAGGGGUACUCGAGUGGCGAACGGGUGAGUAACACGUGGGUGAUCUGCCCUGCACUUCGGGAUAAGCCUGGGAAACUGGGUCUAAUACCGGAUAGGACGAUGGUUUGGAUGCCAUUGUGGAAAGUUUUUCGGUGUGGGAUGAGCUCGCGGCCUAUCAGCUUGAUGGUGGGGUAAUGGCCUACCAAGGCGUCGACGGGUAGCCGGCCUGAGAGGGUGUACGGCCACAUUGGGACUGAGAUACGGCCCAGACUCCUACGGGAGGCAGCAGUGGGGAAUAUUGCACAAUGGGCGCAAGCCUGAUGCAGCGACGCCGCGUGGGGGAUGACGGCCUUCGGGUUGUAAACUCCUUUCGCUAGGGACGAAGCGCAAGUGACGGUACCUGGAGAAGAAGCACCGGCUAACUACGUG
rnacentral:rRNA from 1 species